rnacentral:rRNA from 1 species
AGCGAACGCUGGCGGCAUGCUUUACACAUGCAAGUCGAACGGUAACAGGCCGCAAGGUGCUGACGAGUGGCGAACGGGUGAGUAAUGCAUCGGAACGUGCCCAGUCGUGGGGGAUAACGCAGCGAAAGCUGUGCUAAUACCGCAUACGAUCUGUGGAUGAAAGCGGGGGACCGAAAGGCCUCGCGCGAUUGGAGCGGCCGAUGUCAGAUUAGGUAGUUGGUGGGGUAAAGGCUCACCAAGCCAACGAUCUGUAGCUGGUCUGAGAGGACGACCAGCCACACUGGGACUGAGACACGGCCCAGACUCCUACGGGAGGCAGCAGUGGGGAAUUUUGGACAAUGGGCGCAAGCCUGAUCCAGCAAUGCCGCGUGCAGGAAGAAGGCCUUCGGGUUGUAAACUGCUUUUGUACGGAGCGAAAAGGCUCUCUCUAAUACAGGGGGCUCAUGACGGUACCGGAAGAAUAAGCAUCUGCUAACCACGUGCCAGCCGCCGCCGUAAGAC